rnacentral:rRNA from 1 species
GUCCACGCCGUAAACGAUGAGUGCUAGGUGUUGGGGGGUACCACCCUCAGUGCCGAAGCUAACGCAUUAAGCACUCCGCCUGGGGAGUACGGUCGCAAGACUGAAACUCAAAGGAAUUGACGGGGGCCCCGCACAAGCAGUGGAGCAUGUGGUUUAAUUCGAAGCAACGCGAAGAACCUUACCAAGACUUGACAUCCCGCUGACCGCUCUAGAGAUAGAGUUUCCCUUCGGGGCAGCGGUGACAGGUGGUGCAUGGUUGUCGU